GACGAACGCUGGCGGCGUGCUUAACACAUGCAAGUCGAACGGAAAGGCCCUGCUUUUGUGGGGUGCUCGAGUGGCGAACGGGUGAGUAACACGUGAGUAACCUGCCCUUGACUUUGGGAUAACUUCAGGAAACUGGGGCUAAUACCGGAUAGGAGCUCCUGCUGCAUGGUGGGGGUUGGAAAGUUUCGGCGGUUGGGGAUGGACUCGCGGCUUAUCAGCUUGUUGGUGGGGUAGUGGCUUACCAAGGCUUUGACGGGUAGCCGGCCUGAGAGGGUGACCGGCCACAUUGGGACUGAGAUACGGCCCAGACUCCUACGGGAGGCAGCAGUGGGGAAUAUUGCACAAUGGGCGGAAGCCUGAUGCAGCAACGCCGCGUGCGGGAUGACGGCCUUCGGGUUGUAAACCGCUUUCGCCUGUGACGAAGCGUGAGGGACGGGAAUGGGUAAAGAAGCACCGGCGAACUACGG
rnacentral:rRNA from 1 species